ACUCUCGGUGCUUCUCGGCACUCGGCAGACUGGUAAAUGGAAACACACCCAGACACCCUACAGUUUCAGUUCGAUUAACAAACGCAAUACGCCAAUGAGGCAACUCAUGGCGGGUCCCCCAGGCUUGGCCAUGGCCCCUCUACAACUUCCCUCUCUCUCUCUCUCUCUCCUGAGAGGCGGAUCGGCGACAGAGGGGAGACGCUCAGUCUACACACAUCGGCAAAGGGCACUCGAGUGGGUGGAGUGUGGCGAGGAGGGGGACGACGGCGCCAUUGCGACGGAGCGAGGGGACAGGUCACAGUCCAGGGACCUGACCCUCUGCACUGGUGGACAAGCCCAUGAAAUCCCAGGAAUGGGUGGUGCGCAGUCGCCUCUUUGUGUUUGGGAACACCGAGACGACGCCAGGCAUCUCUGAAGAAAUUGAAGACGCGCAUCAGAAUUAUUAGGCGCCUUUUUGGCAUCACAGCUAGCUAGACUCAUUUAGGGGCCGUCUGUUUGGGAAAUGAAACCCGUAUAAUCUACUCAGACUAUGAUGUAAUCUAACUUGUUUUGGACCAAGAUUAAAUUCUAAAAGAGUAGCCUGUGUUGUGAAACUAAUUACCGGCUAAUCUGAUGGCCUGCUUUUCGUUCAGUUUGGCCGCGAAGCCCUGGAAGCCGGCGCUGUAAGUGUAGACGUGUGAUGCCUGCGCCUUCUCCGAGCUGCGGAGAGGAAGCGUCCGACUCAAGAUAUAUAUAUACUGCUGCAUGGAAACGGCACUGGGAGGUGGGAGCUAGCUAGCUAAGCCUAGGAGGGGUUAUGGAGGAAGGAAUUCAAAUUAACGAGUCUGCUGUGGACCUGCCGUCGUGAACAGCCGUCAGCAUCUGGCGGUGCAGCCCGGCGUGUCGUCGUCGACGGGGUGCCCUGUCGCCCUGCGGCGCUUUGCCCAUGUAGACCACGUACACCUGAAGGAAGAGUUGGCAUCAUCCAUCCAUUUGCUAGCUACUACAGAAGUGCAGCUGACCACCACCGUGGAGAUAUAAUAUAAGCAUAUCGGCGUGCGUUGGAGUAGGCACCUGAGAGGCAGAGCAGCGGCGAAGGUCGUCGCCCAGUAGCGCCAGGGACAGCGCGAGGAAGAACAUGGCUGUGCGUGGAGAAGAAGCCAUGGCAGACACGGUCGGACACCAGCUAGCGCAGAUACAGCGGGUUUGGAUGGAUUGGCAAGCGUGUACCGACGAGUACGAGAGACCUAGACACCCCACCAGCUGCUGUAUAUGUAUGUAUGUAUGAGACUGAGACUGAGACUGAGACUGAGAGCUAGCAGCAGCCAGCAGCUUCCUGAAACCGCUGCCAAGUUUACUGGAGCAGAGAGCCUGCGCACUGACCGGAAUCCCGGUUUGUUUGUGUGGCCGUUAUUCCUGCGCUUUUCUUCGUCGGCCGAGAUGGCAACAAGAGUACAUAAAUAAAUGCGGACAAAGAUGUCAUGAUGCGGUAUGGGAGCCAAGGAGGGUCGGCUAGUGAGAGCAGACAAACAGGGCAUCCGAUCUUUGGAGAUAUACAAGGAACAUGCAUGUAGAUUGUAGGGUGGCUGCUUGCUUUCGUGGACAUACCUGUGUGUGUCAUGUAUGCAGAUAUGAGGUAUAAUAGGUGUAUUUAUUUCUUAUUAUUGUCGUAGAUCGGUGUGCCACCUGCCAUCGUGUGUCUAUAGUCUAUAUAUCUAUCUAUAUAUAUAGAUAGAGAGAGAAAGAAUAAAGUGAUACAAGGAGUAUAUAUCUUUC